UACAGAGGUGCCGAGCGUUAGGCGGAAUCACUGGGCUUAAAGCGUGUGUAGGCGGACUUCUAAGUACCUUGUGAAAUCCCACGGCUCACCCGUGGAACUGCUGGGUAUACUGGUCGUCUUGAGCCACCUAGGGGCCAGCGGAACAAAUGGUGGAGCGGUGAAAUGCGUAGAUAUCAUUUGGAACGCCAACGGUGAAAACAGCUGGCUGGGGGUGUGCUGACGCUGAGGCACGAAAGCGUGGGUAGCAAACAGG
rnacentral:rRNA from 1 species